rnacentral:misc_RNA from 1 species
CCACCCGCACGUACAGAUGGACAAGAAUAGGCUUCGGCUUAGCGUCUUAGCAGGCGAUUACUCUACGGUACUAGAAGUGUGCUGUAGUAUUUCGCGUAUUGUAAUUUUAAAACGAGCGGGGUCAAAUCCUUUGCAGACGACUUAGCUGUGCGAAACGGUCCUGUAAGCAGUAGAGUAGCCUUGUUGUUACGAUCUGCUGAGGGUAAGCCGUCCUUCGCCUCGAUUUCCCCAAUACAGGCAGCCCUGGUGGCUAACUGCGUAGGGGGUUUGGGAGAUGGAUCAGAAGGACGCCAGAGCUCCGGCGUCUGGUCUGUCUCUCGGGAUGCGGCUGCAGGGUAGUCAGUCCAUCUUUGCGUCUUCUGGACAGCUUCUUGCUUGUUCUCCUACGAGAUAUAGUCUACAGGGUAGCUCAGAAGAGAUGGGAUGGUGGUUUUGCAAAAGUAUUGUAUAUCGGUCGCGCGGUUUGGUGGUCGUGAGUCGAUUUUUUUGAUUUCCCAUACAAAUGAAUUUUGCGGAAAAUAAAAAUCGGCCCGGGAACCGACCGUGGCGUGCACGAGGGUAAAUGUGGGUCGGUGCACCUAUGAGAGAGGGGCGCGAGCGCUGAAGGCGAAAGCCUAGGGCGCUGCAGCAAACCAGAACACAGCGUCUCGGGUCAACUAUAAUUAGCUGGUCCGAUCCGCUGUGGGAAAUCUCUUCAACUGUACCAUAUCUUGCAGAUUCCCACUGAGUGGUCACUUGGACAGGCUUGCAGGCUCCGGCUUCGCUAGCGGGUGAUUCAUAGUGGGCGUCGACCCUCACGAAAGCGGCCGCGUGCGGUACGUCGUACUGAGGAUGCCUGGUCUGGGGAGAGUUCUGCUCUCGCCGGCGCUGGAUGGGUUCUGUGGAUGGAUGGCCGAUGGCUAGACUUACCACUGAGCAACGGGAGAUCGCCACGCGCAGCGGACACCGCCAUGGUUGAAGCUGUGCGCUGAGCACUCCUCUUGGGGCGCCCAAGCCGCACCGGCCCUAGUGGUCUAGGUGUGGUGGAAGGAUGUCCUGGGGAACUGAGAGGGGGAAGGUGGAUUGCCCUGCGCGGCGUCGGUGGCCCUGCCGCUGGUGCUGUGUAAGGCGCGCUCUCACGAGUGCCAUUCAGUAACUAAUUCUCCGGUGCCCCUCGUGGGCGCUGGUGGCCAACCCCGGCGAACGAU